GGACUCUUAGCUCAGCUGGUUCAGAGCACCUGCCUUACAAGCAGGGGGUCGCAGGUUCGAAUCCUGCAGGGUCCA
rnacentral:tRNA from 1 species